AGGGAGGAGGAGGAGGAGGGGGAGGAGGUCGGCCAGCCGCCGAGGAAGAGAAAAGGGGAAAUAUCUGUAGGUUUUUAUUUCUAAAUCGGGCCUAAAAUUCUGGGCUUAGGAGACUAUCGGGCCGAAAACUUAAUAAGGCCCGCAUAAAAAUCGGGCCAGGCUCCGCAAGACAGGCUUUUCUUUUCCUCCAGUCUAUCCUCUAGUUGUUGUUGUUAUUAUUAUUAUUAUUAUUAUUAUUAUUUUACUGAAACAAAAAGGAAAGUAGGGAGGAAGGAACAAGCCUACCUUCGCGUAGCAAAACUAUGCGCUUUCUUUUACUUGUUUUUGCGGAGGGAGAGUGUUACAUGGAGGAAGGCAAGUCUCAAAAGAAAAAACAAUUACACUCUAAACAAAACUACAAUCAUAAGACUUGGCAGCCAUCAAAUAAGUUAAAUGAGGGGGAAGAAUUUCCAUUCUCCAGCACUGGCCUUCAGCAGCAACACCAGCAUUUUCUCACCAAUUGGCUGAUUGGUUACCUUUCCCAAAUAUAUGUGUUACUUCGGAUGCCUGUGAAGCCUUUUUAAUCCACCAUAUGUCCAAUGAACUACUUUAAUAAGCAUAUCCCUCUCAAUCUAGACUUGAGAAGCUUUAUAGAUGUAGAUUUAUGCAUACAAUCAUCAUCUUAAUUCGUCAUUUAGAGUAUGUUUGGAUGAUUAGGCUAAAAAUUCUAUAAAAUUUAUGGGUUGGGUUAGUACAACUUACAGCAAAAUUAUAGAAAUAUAGAUUGGGUUAGGUUUAUAUUCAUAAAUAUCCAGAAGUAGCUUUGGAGUAGGCCGGUCCGUAUCCCAUAGGAAGAAAAAAAAAUAUUUUUACUAAUUGUACUGGUCUGACUCAUGAAGCGUAUAGGAUUUUCAGCUCAAUCAUCCAACCAAGCCAGGUUUUAAAAGCAACAUGAAUCAGCUAUACUUGAAUGGUAUCCGGUAAUAUUAGGGGUGGCAAUCAGGUCGGGUCGGGUCAUAAACGGGUCGGGUCACAUGCAAGUCGGGUCAGAAAAUCAUAAACCUGAACCCGACCUGUUUAUUAAACAGGUCAGAAACUACAACCUGAACCUGACCUGUUUAAUAAACAGGUAAUCCGACCCGAUCUGUUUAACCUGUUUAAUAAACAGGUAAUAUAUUCCAAUCCGACCCGACCAGUCAAAACAACUAGAUGAAAAACAAAAAAGAACCAAAAACAAGUGCUAAAUAAUUCACGAACCCAAUUUUCUGGUCACCUGUCGAAGACUCGAAGCCAGUCUAUCCAUCAUCCAAGUAAGGCUGCAAAUGGGUCGGGUCGACCCGAGACCCGAUCCGGCCCGACCCGUGUGGACCCGACCCGACCCGAAUUUUAGGACCCGCGGGUCCGGGUCGGGUCCUAAAAUUGGACCCGAAUCAUUUUAUGGGUCGGGUCUGGGUUUACCGAACGGACCCGACCCGACCCGAAUAGACCCGAAGAGAAAAAGAGAGGGGAAAAAAAAGCAAAAAAGAGUUUUUUUUCUUUUUUUUGUAUGGGUCGUGGUAUUAUUGAUCCGUCUGGAUCCUCUCUCGAUCUAUUAUAUUGUUGAUACCUCAAGUGUCUCGGUAGCUUGCUUUUUUUUUCCUUCUAUUUUUUUGUUUCUGUUUUUUUUAACUUUUGCAGGGGUGAAGUGUGGGAACACUCAACUGAAUAUGGGUCAUGUGCCAGUUUUCUGCAAUGGAAUUGGAUUUUGGAAGAAGGUCUGGGAUUUUUUUAGUCUUCGUGAGAGGGGAGCUGGGAGACACCAAGUUCCGUCCAAUCAGUCAUAUGGACAAAAAAUAGUGCGAUAUGAAAUUUGGCUUGUAGACCGACUUACUUAGUAAGUCCGGGGCCAUUAUUCUGGCUGGAGGUCAAUUGCAAGUCUUUCAAGUCAUGGGUCACCCAGCACCUCAUAAUUAUGAUGUGACUAAAUUAGAUUUGUCCAAAUUAUUUCCUAAAAGCAUAAAAAAAUUAGACCCGCUUCGGACCCGAACCCGACCCGACUCGGACCCGGACCCGAUCCGGACCCGACACGGACCCGACCCGACCCGACCCGAUCUUCAACCGGGUCGGGUCUGGGUCCAAAAUUAGGACCCGAACAAAAAAUCGGGUCGGAUCGGGGUCACCCAGGACCCGACCCGACCCGACCCAUUUGCACCCCUAAAAANNNNNNNNNNNNNNNNNNNNACCCGACCCAUUUGCACCCCUACAUCCAAGCAUGCGAUUGCACGGGAUAAGAGCAAAAUCUUGAGGGGAAAAAAAAAGGCGAAAGCAAUCUAGAAGGAUUGCCAAUUUAAUUCAAUAAACCAGCUUUCCGAUACUCAAGCCCCAGUUCUCAAAAAUCCAGUCAUCCACACACAAUAGAUCAUCAGAAAUUCAGAGAAAAAAUAGAUAACCACGGAGAUGAGAGAUGAGAUGAGGAAUCGUGC
rnacentral:lncRNA from 1 species